rnacentral:rRNA from 1 species
AUUGAACGCUGGCGGCAGGCUUAACACAUGCAAGUCGAGCGGAGUGAUGGUGCUUGCACUAUCACUUAGCGGCGGACGGGUGAGUAAUGCUUAGGAAUCUGCCUAUUAGUGGGGGACAACAUCUCGAAAGGGAUGCUAAUACCGCAUACGUCCUACGGGAGAAAGCAGGGGAUCACUUGUGACCUUGCGCUAAUAGAUGAGCCUAAGUCGGAUUAGCUAGUUGGUGGGGUAAAGGCCUACCAAGGCGACGAUCUGUAGCGGGUCUGAGAGGAUGAUCCGCCACACUGGGACUGAGACACGGCCCAGACUCCUACGGGAGGCAGCAGUGGGGAAUAUUGGACAAUGGGGGGAACCCUGAUCCAGCCAUGCCGCGUGUGUGAAGAAGACCUUAUGGUAGUAAAGCACUUUAAGCGAGGAGGAGGCUCUUUUGGUUAAUACCCAAGAUGAGUGGACGUUACUCGCAGAAUAAGCACCGGCUAACUCUGUGCCAGCAGCCGCGGUAAAAC